rnacentral:rRNA from 1 species
GACGAACGCUGGCGGCGUGCUUAACACAUGCAAGUCGAGCGCUGAAGGCUGGUCUUUGUCUCCACUGGCUGUGCCGCGCACGUGUGUGUCACAUGUGGAAUCUCUGCCUUUGUCCGGGGUACAACCUUUGGAAACCGUCUCUUACACCGUAUAAAAUCCUUAAACAUCUUCUUCAACUUUGAAAGAUUCAAUUGCGUCAUUCGAUCAUGGCCUCGCGUUGUAUUAGUUAGUUGGUGAGUCAAAGGCUCACCAAGGCGAUGAUACAUAGCCGAACUGAGAGGGUGAUCGGCCACCUUGGGACUGAGACACGGCCCAAACUCCUAGGGGAGGCAGCAGUAGGGCAUCGUCGGGAAUGGACGAAAGUCUGACCGAGAAACGCCGAGUGAGUGAAGAAGAUUGUCGGGUCGGAAAACUCUGUUGGUAGGGAAGAACGUUGGUGAGAGUGGAAAGCUCAUAAAGUGACGGUAACUACCCAGAAAGCGACGGCUAACUACGUG